rnacentral:SRP_RNA from 1 species
GCCGACGUGGAGGCGCGCACCUGUAGUCCCAGCUACUCAGGAGGCUGAGACAGGAGGAUCGCUUGAACCCAGGAGUUCUGGGCUGUCGUGUGCUGUGCCGAUCGGGUGUUCACAUUAAGUUCGGCAUCAAUAUGGUGACCUCCUGGGAGCAGGAGACCACCAGGUUGCCUAAGGAGGGGUGAACCGGCCCAGGUUGGAAAAUGGAGCAGGUCAAAACUCCUGUGCUAAUCAGUAGUAGUAGGAUCAUGCCUAUGAAUAGUUACUGCACUCCUGACGUGGGCAAAAUCCCAUCUCUA